rnacentral:lncRNA from 1 species
CAUCAGUCAAAAAUGUCCUUGGAUUGGAAGGUCUCAGAGAGGAGUGGGUAUUGCAGACUUUUAUACAAGAGACUCACAGAGGAGCUUUUCUCUCUGUCCCAGCUGCACAGAUCACCAUUUACUUCUGCUUGGUGCUGACAGGGACUUUCUGAGCGGUUUUGGUGGGAUGCAAGGGCUGAGAUCACAUACACCCUUUCCUGUGCUCUCAAGCUACCUGGGAGGGCGAAGGACACUGCAAGAGAUGUGACCUGAGUUCAGGCACAGGACAUAAACCAUGGGAGCAGAGGAGUCACUGGUGGUCAGACCAGGAGCUGUGAGCCCUCCAAUGAGCUGCAGAGCUGACUGCCCGUGGCUGGUGCUGCAGAGGUGACGGCAUGAACCCCAUGAAGGUAAUUUGCUUUUGUUUGCAUUGGUUUCUAUCCUUGUAAACCAGUCUGAAACAUCUGCUAAAUUCUAUGCUGCAAAGUGAAAAAAUCAGAAGUCAGAAGAUCUUGACUUUAGCAUUUACUAGAGGGUAAGGGACCACUCAUGACAUAUACACUGUUGCACAGGCGGUGUUCCAAGUGUGUGUGGCAGUGAGUUCAGUGCAAUAGGUGCAGGCAAAGUCGGUGGAACAACUCGUUUAUCCUCUAUAAAGUGCUCAGGCAAAGCCAGGAGUGGCUGGCAUUGCAGCAGCGUGCAGCAGGUGACAGCAGCAUGCAGCUUGUGGGACUGCAGGGCAUCUUGCAACCGCAGCCACAGUCCCCAUCUGCAAUGACCUGAUAGCGGGCAGGGCCUGGGCCUCGAGGCAGGGCCUUGGAGGUGCUCAGCAGUGGCUCCUCACAGCGUUUGGAGUUUGGUGCUGGCACAGCAUUGGGGUUUGGUGCUGGUGCAGAGGUUCUGGCAGCUAUGCGUGGGCCAGGUUUCUGCAGGCUCAGAGCAGGCCUGCUGGGCUCAGGGCUCCACGCUCUCAUUUUUUACAAAUAUUAUAAACUGGGAUUCUGCAGAAAUAAACAGGGUUUUAUAAUCAGCUCUGAAAUACGGCUGUAUUUUAAGAGAGGCAGUUAAGGGUGGAUGUGUGAGUUACAGGGAAGGUGCCGUGCUUUUACGACCCACGCUGUGCACUGUGUGGCCCUGCUUCGAGCUCUCUGUCGAGUGCUGCUGCUGGUGAGCGAUUUAACAUCAGCAGGGGAGUGUGACUGGGAAGGCCUCAGCUCCAGUACCGCUGUCAGCAUGGUCUGCAGGGCAGAGCUGCCUCUGCAGCGGGGAGAAGGCUCAGUGCAAGGCAGGAUGAGGACAGGAUGAUGCCCAGCACGGGGACGGUACAGGCAGCAGCACGGGCCAGAUGCAGCAAGGGCAGAGCUGCUCUGUUGGUUGGGCAGGGGGUCCUGGCCCCAUGGAUCCCAGCCCAGGUGGUCCUGGCAGCUCUCUCCCUUUUGCAUGCACUCCUGGGGGCAAAAUGGACUUCUCGAUGGGGGAGAGGCUCAUGUCACACCAUUAGAACUCAAGUUUGUUAUUCAUUCUGCUGUUAUUUUUCUGAACUUGACCCACCAGUGGUGCACACUAUGACCUCUGGCAUCUUCUCUCACCCCAGCCAAUAUCCCCAUCUCACAUACUUUGAGUGCCCUUUGAAUUAAAGAAGAUUAAUUCCCAAGUUCCCGACAUGCUCUUCAGGCACAUGUUUUUAUAACCUCCUAAAGCGAGUGCCCCUGGUUCCACCAAACCAGCUCAGCCUCACGCUGCAGGCACUGGGAGCUACCACUUGUCCCCAGAAGGGGAGCACCCCGCUGCACCCACCACGGCCUGGCUGCUGGCUGGGGAUGCGGCAGGCACAGGCUGGCAGCAGCCGUGGGGUGCGAUGUCACAGACUGCUGGGCUUUGUGCUGCUGUGGCUUUUGUUGUUUGUUUUCUUUGCCUCUUCUUCCUCCUACAGCUUCAAGAAUUAACUCGCCCUGGGAAUUUCUCCAAAUCCUUUCCCUUCUCCAAAGUGAUGGAUAAGCCAUGUAACUGAUUGCCGUGGCCUCAGAGAGGGUAAACAUCUUCUGCAGCUUAAAAUGAAACUUUCUCACUCCUUGGUUAAUGAGUGUUGAAAGAAGCAUAAAUAGAAAUAACACAGGAUUUCCAUGACUAACAGGAUGACCGCAUCAGUGAAUGUUGUCGGGGUUAAAAAUGACUCAGCUUUUGCUUCCCCAGGGUCUGAUGUUUUAUCCCGCGGCAGGAAGGGCUGCCAGCAGCACUUUGAAGGUCUGGCAGAGCCGCCACGGCUUGGAUCGUGAACUGGGAAGUGUUUGAAUGCACGGGGAAAAAAGGAAAAUCCUGAACUCUGCUCCAUGUGUGCAGAUUUCGCGAAGAUAAAGGAGCCCACAGCUUUAUCCAGCCAUGCUGACUCUUUUCUUUUCCAAAGCCUUUUCAGAUGUUUUCACUUUUCUGCUUGCUUUGUUGAAAGAUGUAAAAAUUUAAGACGACCACAAAGUAAACAUUUCAGAACUUUCUAUUCUGAAAAUUAGCGACGUUUUCAAAAUCCCCAAAUCCCGUUUCUGCGUGAUCCGAAAUGAAGGCGUUUGGCAUUUCGGUGCUUGGCGGCCCAGUUCUGCUUAUCCAUAACCUUUCCUUUACCGUUCCAAGGAAACGGAUCGGUUAUUCGGUACAAACAGCAGAUAAGUCGAUGUCUUGUCAAAAUAAAGCAGGUUUUCCUUAUUAGAGUGAAAUAGUAAUGAACUCAUCUGCUUCCAAUAUUUAUAAAGAGUAGAGAAGGCCAUUAAUUCUGCUGCUUGUGAAUAAAACCAUCUGUGAUUUCUUUCCAUUUGAUGUGUUUUGGUUUUAAUAUACAUUUUUCACAAAUCAGUGUAGGGAUUUUUUGUGAAAAUGUCACAUUCAGAAUCUCAUAAAGAAGGAACGCAAAGAGGGGGAAACGGAAUGUUUUGUUAGCUAAGUAACUUCUCACCUUGUGCAGAGAAUAAAAUUCAUGCCAACUUUAACACAUUAGGCGACAGAAUUACAUGUUCGGCUCUAAUGCAAUCCAUGACACGUAACGAGGCAAAUAGAGUAUGUUUGGAAGUUUGUUUUCCUUUGGGAAUCACACAGUACAUUUAACCUAAUCUGUCCUGACACUUGAGUUAUAACAUUAUGAGCUUCUUCAGGGAAGCAAAACGGUAGAUGCCUCUUUUUAAAGCAAAGCAGAAAUUAAUAAAGCGGGCAGCGCGCCGGGGAAGGAGGGCCGAUGGCAUCGCGGCGCAGCGCUCUGCCGACGUGGGUUCCAGGCUGCUGCUUUUCCAGAGCUCUCGGGUGUCUCACGGCGUACCUCCACCAAAGGCGAAAUCUGACCUCUAGAAUUAUGCUCGAUUAAACCAAAACAUGAGAACGCCCCACGUGGGACCGCUUUGUAGUUUGACUUGUGAGUGUUGGAUCUUAAAUUAAAAUGAGUAUUCAUCCAGCUGCUCUGCCCUAUUUCUUUACAGCCUUCCCCCCAGCCCGUACUGCCGAGGCUGCUCCGUGUCACGGUUUCCAGAAGCACUCCCGCAGCACAGAGCAGCGCCCUGCAGCACGCUCAGCCCCACCAGCCGCCCCCACCCCACGUGCCCCCGCGGGGCUCUGCAGGGCACUGCCCGGCUGUGGGACCCGCAGCAGUGCUCUGAUGGCGCCGGGGUGAGCGCGGUGCGCAGCAGUGGGGCUGCGCUGCGGAUGGUGCAGCCAUCAAAGUGCUUGUGCGAAAGGGCACUGUGAGUCCCCGUGUGUUAUCUCUCCUGCUGCUGAAAACAGGCUCAUCGUCUUGGUUGUUCUUUUCUCUCUUUUUUUUUUUUCGGUUAUCAAUAAAAUCUUACUUUGGAUAACCUAAAUAAAGCUUUUCUUGGAAGGCGAGGCCACAGAUCACAGCAGUGCUGGGUGCAGCUUCUGCGUGGUGCUUUCGGCUGCACCCAGGAGGACACGGUGCUGCCAACCUGCACGGCUGAUCCCACACACAGAAGAUGCUGCCCCAGCUGCCAUGCACCCCUCGUGCUGCACCUCUCAUUGCUGCAUGCACUGCUGCCCGGCCUGCACUGCUCUCUGCUGUUUCCACAGCUUUUGGUUCCUUGGUGUGGCAAAGGCCAACCACAGGAAAGAGGAGUAUUUGUCUCUUGGGAGAGUUUUCAUACCUUCACACAGCAGCUGAGCCUGCCACUCUCCUCUGUGUAGUUUAUGCUUUUAUUGUUUAAAUGAAGCUUUCAGCUGCCUGGACUUCAACUUUGCCAAAAUUCAGUGCACUAAGGGAAGGUUCUUGAUGUGUUUUAUUAGAUAUCUUUCAUUCCGGUUUGGAUACAGGGGCAGCAUUUUGCAGGAUGUGCUUCACUGCGAGAGCUGGAGCUGCUGCUGGCCGUGGGCACUUCCUCCUCCCGUGGCCCCGCGCUCGGCCCCAUCCACACAGGGCUGGCAGUGCCACUGGGAGCACCUCAUGAGCACUGGAUGUGGCUCCAUGGGGGCGCUCCAGCUGAGUGCUGGAAGGUGGGCACAGUGCCCACAGGGGCGAUGAAGCAUGAAGGAAAUGGAGGCGGGGGGCUGAGGCACCACGAGGUCACGUUAGGUCAUCUUCCUGCCAGAGGAAAGCUCCCAGCAGGAGUGCCUGGAAAGGCAAUGCCCAGACAGCAGCCAGGAGCCCUGCACUGCAACAUGGUGCAGUCCCAUGGCAGCUGCUAUGGGCUCACUUGGGUGGGUGAGUGGGUGGGUGGGUGGGUGGAUGGAUGGAUGGACAGCCACAGUACUCCCUGUGGGACCUGACAAAGGCCAAAAUAAGGGCUGUGCUCGGUCCAGCUGAGCACUGAGGGCACGGGGACAUUUCCUGUGCCUGAUCUGUACCUGAAUUCUCAAAGGUUUUAUGCUCUCCCACAAGCCCUGGCUGCUGUGAAAAGGAGCCAGCUGAUGGACUCGAAGAUCUCAGUGCAAACUUUUUGCCUGUUCUACUUCUAAAUUCCAUUUUCUGCCCAAAUGCCUACUUGUAUGAAACUUGUAGGAACUUAAUUAUCCUUGAGACUUCUGCUUCUCUAUGAAAUCUGGUUCAAAUCAGUUUAAAAAAAGAGUUCAAAGUCGUUGGGCAGGCUGGGCAGACAGACAAGCAUGCAGGGAUCACAGGAGCCUUGUUUUUGUAGGAAACGAGAUUAAAAAGAUCCCACGGCAGCACGGAGCUCCAUCGGUGCACCCCCGGCAGCGCUGGGUGUGGGGCUCUGGUCGGCACAGCCGCACGGCCGCGCUCAGACCGGGAGUGUCGGCCUCAGCCCGGCUGCUGCUCCCAGCUGGACGCAGACUCAGAGCAUCCCCGCUCUCCCUGCAAUGCAAACCUGUACCUAAUUUCUUCUGAAAAGGGCCCUGAGGAAGUCAGCAGAUGUUAUUAUUAAAGCACUGAGUAUCAGCAGCUCCCGAGAUAUUGUCAGUUCGUUAAUGAGCUGAUCAAACUGUGGAAAACAAGGGGUUUCCCAGCUUCCUAUUAAGGAAAAUAAGACCUCCAAGGUUAAAAGACUUCUUUUAAACUGCACCAGGUUUAUAGGUUGCCAAACGCUCUUUAAUCAGCUUGUUCUUAGAAGGCCCUCACUGUCCAGGCGCAGGAAUGGACAUUAUCCCAACCGGUCCCCAGAAGGAAAUGCAGCUGCUCUGUGCUGGGAGUGUUUGCUGACAUUUUGCUUGCCAAUAUCUUCUUAACCAUUCCCUGCAGUUACUGCAAAUAUUUGGUGAAUUCUCUGCAAAUCCCUGCCAGCAGCUCUGCCUGCAGACUUCUGCUGAUUUGUGAAUUACUGUUUCCCCGUUUGAAAGUUAAGCUCAUUUCCCUAUCAACGCAUUUGUAUUCUGUUUGGCAACUGCCGCAUCUCAGAGGUUUCCCAGGGCUGCAGAAGACACAAAAUGCAUGAGUGAGCAAGAAAUGGCCCCGUACCUCUUCUCUGCACCAUCACCCCCGAAGCAUUCCUGUGCCGAGGGAUGCACCAGCUCAGCUCAGACCAAAGCAAUGGGAAAUGGGAUCCCACUCUGUUGGGUCUUUAGCUUCAUGUCACGUCAUCUGGAAACUUCCUUGGGGUUUUUCAGCUGCAGGGAUAUUUAGGGUUUAGACAGUGGUGCUGAUGAGAUUAGAGCAGCUAAGAGUGUAGGAAAACCAGUUGUUACUUCUGUAGUUCAACAGAAGAUCACAACUUGCCUUAAAGGCACAUUACCGCUACUGCCAUGUGAGUCAGGUCCAAGGCCUGGCCAGGACAAACCCUCAUCUCAGAGAGCUUCAUUAUAUCUGAAAAGUAAUUAGGUAAACUGCUACAGAGAAAUGUUCAGACAGAGAAUAUAGAGAAGGCUCAUUUUUGUCCCCUCCAUCUACUCAGUGAUGUAAGGAAUAAAAAAAGAAAAGCAACAAACAAACAAAAAAAGCAGGCGGUGAGUGUGCAGUGUGUGUGUGUGUGCAGUGUGUGUGUGUGCAGCGUGUGUGCAGUGUGUGUGUGUGCAGUGUGUGUGCAGUGCCGCUGUGGCCCCUGCCCAGGGAGCGCUCCACGCAGGGCAGCAGCGCACGGCACUGCGGGGCAGUGGGCACCAGGGGCUGUUAUUUCAGCACAGACGGAUUUGUGCCAUUGGAUAAGCAGUGACUGCUGUAAAUAGGUCUUCUGCUAUGCAACACUGAGGAAGGGACAGACAGAAAAAUUAACCCUGAAACAGAGUGCAUGAUUUUAAAGAUGGAAAGGAUUGUGUGUCUCUGUUGUGUUUCAGUUAUGUCUGAGGGUAUCUCCUGAGCUGCAGUUCCAUGGAGCGUUUCUGACAUUACCAAUCAUUUUAAUCAUAACCUGUGUCACUCAGUGAAACCUUAC